rnacentral:rRNA from 1 species
AACACAUGCAAGUCGAACGAGAAAGGGGCUUCGGCCCUGAGUAAAGUGGCGCACGGGUGAGUAACACGUGACUAACCUACCCUUGAGUGGGGAAUAACUUCGGGAAACCGAGGCUAAUACCGCAUAACACCUACGGGUCAAAGGAGCAAUUCGCUUAAGGAGGGGGUCGCGGCAGAUUAGUUAGUUGGCGGGGUAAUGGCCCACCAAGACGGUGAUCUGUAUCCGGCCUGAGAGGGCGCACGGACACACUGGAACUGAAACACGGUCCAGACUCCUACGGGAGGCAGCAGUGGGGAAUUUUGCGCAAUGGGGGAAACCCUGACGCAGCAACGCCGCGUGGAGGAUGAAGUCUCUUGGGACGUAAACUCCUUUCGAUCGGGACGAUAAUGACGGUACCGGAAGAAGAAGCCCCGGCUAACUUCGUGCCAGCAGCCGCGGUAAUACGAGGGGGGCGAGCGUUGUUCGGAAUUAUUGGGCGUAAAGGGUGCGUAGGCGGUUCGGUAAGUCUUGUGUGAAAUCUUCGGGCCCAACUCGAAGUCUGCACGAGAAACUGCCGGGCUUGAGUGUGGGAGAGGUGAGUGGAAUUUCCGGUGUAGCGGUGAAAUGCGUAGAUAUCGGAAGGAACACCUGUGGCGAAAGCGGCUCACUGGACCACAACUGACGCUGAGGCACGAAAGCUAGGGGAGCAAACAGGAUUAGAUACCCUGGUAGUCCUAGCCCUAAACGAUGAUCGCUUGGUGUGACGGGUACCCAAUCCCGCCGUGCCGAAGCUAACGCGUUAAGCGAUCCGCCUGGGGAGUACGGUCGCAAGGCUGAAACUCAAAGGAAUUGACGGGGGCCCGCACAAGCGGUGGAGCAUGUGGUUUAAUUCGACGCAACGCGAAGAACCUUACCUGGGCUCGAAAUGUAGUGGACCGGGGUAGAAAUAUCCCUUCCUAGCAAUAGGCUGCUAUAUAGGUGCUGCAUGGCUGUCGUCAGCUCGUGUCGUGAGAUGUUGGGUUAAGUCCCGCAACGAGCGCAACCCUUAUUACCAGUUGCCAUCAUUCAGUUGGGCACUCUGGUGAGACCGUCUCGGAUAACGGGGAGGAAGGCGGGGAUGACGUCAAGUCCUCAUGGCCUUUAUGUCCAGGGCUACACACGUACUACAAUGGCCGGUACAAACCGUCGCAAACCCGUGAGGGGGAGCUAAUCGGAAAAAGCCGGCCUCAGUUCGGAUUGGAGUCUGCAACUCGACUCCAUGAAGCUGGAAUCGCUAGUAAUCGCAGAUCAGAAUGCUGCGGUGAAUACGUUCCCGGGUCUUGUACACACCG